CACCCAACCCCAAAUGCCGCACAUGCCGCCACACCUUGUCAGGCCACCACUCCCUCGCCUCCGCACGCCGCCGCGCACUGCAGUCCGCCCCCGCGUACACCGCCGCACACGCUGAAGGCCGGCCCCAAUCAGGCGCCGCACACUGAUGGCCGCCAUGCUGCAGGCCGCCCCCAAGCACGCUCACGCACGCGUGGACGCCGCCGCCGCCUACUACAGUCCGCCGACUGCUUCCGAGAUCACCGCCGGCGCCCUGUCCUGUCCGACCUCGCCCUGGACGACGCGAUUUGGGCUUCGCACUGCAGGACGCCGACCGCGCAUUGUCCAUGGAUUGCUUUCGAGUCGCAAUGCUCAACUUCACCUCACCAAUGUUAUGUUCUUCAUAUGUUCACUAGCUAAGAAGUUUCUGUUAUAAUCAUAAAAUAGUCAACAUGAGUUUCUUUUCAUAGAGAACAUUUGAAAUACUGCGGUAUGCCCUGCUAAAUUGUGUAUUCAUUGUGUUGUGGCAAGUAGCAUUCAGUAGAGUAUAUUUGGCUGUUAGCUGAUGAAAACAAGAAUUCAACAUUGAUGAACACUCAGUAGGUCAACUUCGAAGUAACUUACUAUAUAGUUAGUUGUUCGUUAUUGUAAUGCUCUGGCAAUUUUGUGAUGACCAGGGAAUGGUUUCCGCAGUUUGACCAUGAUAUCUCUAUUACGACCAUACCAGUCGCAGAUUCUACUCAUACCGGUUUUUCCAGAUGACAUGCUAGAUUUUCCAGAUGCAAAUGUUCGGUACAUUUGUGAGCUUCCGAGCUUUUGGAAUUCUUUUGUUUCGGAUAAAAAUUAUAGAGGACAAUAUAUGCAGAAACUGUAUUGAUACUUUUUUUAGCCUGGGACAACAAGAAGGGAAUCAGACCCUAUCCCUUUUAAUAGGCAAUGAAAUUGGACUAAGGUACCUGCCUAUCUGAAGUGAUGGGAUCCAAUUCAUGUCUAUCCACUGUCCAUGACUCUCGGGAGAUAAAUCUCUUUUUUUUGAAACAACUCGGGAGAUAAAUCAAUUCAUUGUAGGCGUAGAUUAAGUCUGCUUUAAUCCAGCAACUUCCGCAACUGGGAGAGUUACUUUCUGUCUUGCGCCUGCAUCAUUCAAGACUUGUUGGAGAAAAGUUAUCUUGCAUGAAAUGCCCUUCUAUGAAUGCAGAGUCUCAGGUUUGCUAUAACUUCAACACCAAGACUCCCUAGAUUUAUUUCUCCUAGCAGGUAACUUAUUUUUUGAAGGAUCCCAGCAGGCAACUUGUACUGUUAUGGGCUCACUAUACCCGAGUUUUCGAGUCCACUUACCAGAAACAUAUUUCUCACAUAUGCGAAGAAAGUAAAGACAAACAGGAGGACGUCUAAGGAGAUAUUCAGAGGCCAAGAAGUUCCUGAAGUGGUUCUGAAGAGAAGAUAACUAUUUCUUCGCUCACGGCAUCUUAAAGUUACGGAAUAUAUUCGCUAAAUGUUUUGCAAAAAUAAAAACAUUUAUCAUGUGCUGCC